rnacentral:lncRNA from 1 species
AAGAUCAUCCUCCAAAAAAUAGAAAAUUGAAGAGUUCAAGAUCCAUUUGAACUUGGAUGAAAAUUAAUUGUAAUAUUUCCCCCGUCAAAAUCUAAAAAUUGGAAGAGAUUUAAAAGAUUCAGUGCUUGCUAUUAAUUUUAAUUUUAACAUAGAACAUUGGAGGAGAGUAAUGGUAUGAAAUAUUGGAGGGGAGAAUUAUAACUGUUACUUGGAACAUUGGAGAGGAGAAUUUUAACUUUAACUUGGAACAUUAGAGGAGACUAAUGGUAUGGAACAUUGGAGGAGACUAAUGGUAAGUAUACUCUUGAGUGGAACAUUGGAAGAGACUUAUGGUGAGUAUAGUCUUGUAAAAGAACCGAUGUCUCUAUAAUAUUCUUUCAUUUAUAUGUUAAAUCCAUCUUUGUUAUGGUGUACUUUUCAAAUUUCCUCUCCAUAAUAUUCUUU